GGAUGCGAUCAUACCAGCACUAAAGCACCGGAUCCCAUCAGAACUCUGAAGUUAAGCAUGCUUGGGCGAGAGUAGUACUAGGAUGGGUGACCUCCUGGGAAGUUCUCGUGUUGCAUUCC
rnacentral:rRNA from 1 species